ensembl:lncRNA
UGGAGCAAUUGGAUAUCCACAGUACAUAAAAGAAAACAAAUGAAACGCAACCUAAACUUCACCCUUCAUACACAGAACUAAAAUUGUAUCACAGAUAAGUAUAAAAUGUACAGCUAUAAAACUUCUGGUUGAAAACACAGGAGAAGGAUUGGAAAUAUAACUCAAUAAUAAAGAACCUAUCUAGCAUACUAGCAUACAUGAGGUCCUGGGUUCAACCCCUAGCACCAUAAAAAUGCAAAGUAAAUAUUAAAGAGCUAAAAACUACUAAACAAAUACAUGUAGCCUUCAAGUAUUUCUCCUUUAACUGCAAAACCCUGGGGUUUCAGGACAGGAGACUGAAAACAAUACUGCUCAACCUUUUCCUACUGAUGAAUAAUGCAGUUUUCAUUUAUACUGAGGUUAAACUGCUUACAUGAUAAAUUUACCAGAUUUUGCAAAAAAUAAAGAUACCUAGUUGAGAUUUUAAUUUCAAAGAAAAAUUUGGUGAGUUCUCUACUACUGCCCUUGGUGGAUUUUACAAUUUGUCUUGUUUAGUUUUCAUCAAUUUUAACACGUUCUCACCAGCCUGAACCACCAGUGAGUGGUACAUACAUGACUGUCCCAUUGGGUGGCUUGUACCACUGGUACAAAUGGAUCUAAUCACUUUUAUUGGUCUUCUUACUAAUAAAAUAAAAAGUCACCCAUAGGGACAGCCAUGCAUAUACCACUGGUCAAGCCACCUGGCAAUGAGAGAUAAGAAUGUCCCUGUUGUGAACAUGUUAGGUAUGGUUUACUUUGUAUUUAUUCUGCUUGGGAUUCACUGAGCUUAUUCAAUCUACAUAUGUUGAGAGUUUUACCAAGUUGAGGAAGCAUCACUUUCUAUUCAUAUUUUUUCUGUCCUAUUUUCUUUCUUGGAACUCUGUAAUUACAUAUAUGUCAAACUGUUUCACAUUGCCCCACACAGCAUUCAGGGAUUUCCCCCCUCCUUUCUUUUCUUUUUGCUUCCUCAGAUUGGACAAUCUCUUUAUCAUCUGUAUUCUGAUACUAUUUGCAAUGAUUUGAUUCUUUUUUAUUUUUGCAUUUCUUGGCCGAGAGUACUCAUUUAUACUCAUUUAUUUAAAUCACCUUUCUGUUCAUCUAUGAACACAGUUCUAACAGCUGCUUCAAAAUCCCGAUCUACUAAUUCUAAUAUCUAGAUUAUGAUCUCUAUUACCCUUUUUAAAUCAUAAAGACAUAUCAUAAUAUUUUACUGUCUCUGAUUACUGUUGACGUGUUAUAGAGACUAAUUUUUAAUCAUACUCUGGCGUGUUAAGCUUUAUUCUGAAUGGCUAAAUGAUUACAGGCUUGAAUUAUUGACUAAUCACCUUGAUUUUGUGGAGAUUUCAUUUUAUAUUACAUUAAAGGUUUUGUUCUUAGUUUUGUUUUGUUUUUGGUACCGGAGAUCGAACUCGGGUCCUUGCGCUUGCGCAGCAGGUGGCGAAACCACUGAGCUAAAUCCCGGGCCCUGUUCUUAGUUUUAAUACAAAUGUCUAGUCCUGGGCCCAGUCUUUGUUAACCAGUCCAUUCUGGCGUUUUGAUGGAUAGUCCAAAUUGUUAUAAAUCCCUUCUAACAUGUCAGAAUUCAAACUGGAAAAUGUCUUCACUUGGAAUAGAGAGCAAUUUCUGUUCUGCUUCUUCAGUCUUCCAUCUGUGGCUUCCACCAGGGCUUAUGGAGUCUUCCCUGCAUAUGCAGAGUUUAGGAGUUGGCAAAAAGUUUAAGGAGAGACACACAGGUCUGGCAUCUUCUUUGGCACCUUGAUUUCAAAAAUCUCUUACUUCAGUUUCCAAAUUUAUCCUCUAAAACUUCAAGCCAGUAAGACUGCAACUUCCUCUCAAGGUCAGUUUUCACCAGAAAUCUGGGAAUGUCUUGAGGGGAAAAGCUGUGUUUGUGUAGUACUCGGCCUGCUUUUGGGGACUCCCUAGUGUCUUUAGAUAGUAACUGAUUAUACUCCUUUCAGAGUUUUUAACUGGGAAGGUUUGUAUACUACAAGCUACACUACAUUACCAAAGCCAGAAGUUCUUUGUUUUACAAUUUUUAAAUGUUUGGUUUAAUGCCUUAGAAGAAAAUAAUGUAGGACUGAAAAGUAUGUAGUUCUCUCCAUUUUUGUGCCCAGCAAACUGAAAAUGGGAUAUUUCAAAAUCUUUUAUCCCAAAGGAAAUAAGUAAAAAUAAUUUCUAGUUCACUGAUAAUACUAAGAAGUAGGGAAAUUUUUCUUCAAUUUUCAACGAAUUUACUAAGCAAAAAAGUCAAAUUGUUUAGGCCACGG